GACGAACGCUGGCGGCGUGCUUAACACAUGCAAGUCGAACGGAAAGGCCCUGCUUUUGUGGGGUGCUCGAGGGGCGAACGGGUGAGUAACACGUGAGUAACCUGCCCUUGACUUUGGGAUAACUUCAGGAAACUGGGGUUAAUACCGGAUAGGAGCUCCUCCUCCAUGGUGGGGGUUGGAAAGUUUCGGCGGUUGGGGAUGGACUCGCGGCUUAUCAGUUUGUUGGUGGGGUAGUGGCUUACCAAGGCUUUGACGGGUAGCUGGCCUGAGAGGGUGACCGGCAACAUUGGGACUGAGAUACGGCCCAGACUCCUACGGGAGGCAGCAGUGGGGAAUAUUGCACAAUGGGCGGAAGCCUGAUGCAGCAACGCCGCGUGCGGGAUGACGGCCUUCGGGUUGUAAACCGCUUUCGCCUGUGACGAAGCGUGAGUGACGGUAAUGGGUAAAGAAGCACCGGCUAACUACGUG
rnacentral:rRNA from 1 species